rnacentral:rRNA from 1 species
AAGGAUGGUCUGUCCUAUACAGCGAGUCCAGCGAACUGAUUUGAAGCUUGCUUCGGGGGGUUACCGGCGGGAGGGUGAGUACACGUGUGCAAGGUGCGUGGAAGACUGGUAUAACUUCGGGAAAUCUAGGCUAUACCGGAUAGGAUCUUCUCGCUGCAUGGGAGAUGAUUGAAAGAUGGUUUCAGCUGUCACUUACUCAUGGGCCCGCAGUGCACUAGCUAGUGGGCGAGGUAACUGCUCACCAAGGCAACGAUGCAGAACCGACCUGAGAGGGUGAUCGGCCACGCUGGGACUGACACACGGCUCCGAGACUCCUACUGGAGGCAGCAGUAGCGGAAUCUUCCGCAAUGGACGAAAGUCUGACUGAGCAACGCCGCGUGAGUGAUGAAGGCUUUCGGGUCUUACAACUCUGUUGUUAGGGAAGAACAAGUACCAGAGUAACUGCUCGUACCUUGACGGUACCUAACCAGAAAGCCACGGCUAACUACGUGCCAGCAGCCGCGGGAAUACGUAGGUGGCAAGCGUUAUCCCGAAUUAUUGGGCGUAAAGCGCGCGCAGGCGGUUUCUUAAGUCUGAUGUGAAAGCCCACGGCUCACCCGUGGAGGGUCAUUGGAAACUGGGGAACUUGACUGCAGAAGAGAAAAGCCGAAUUCCACGUGUAUCGGUGAAAUGCGUAGAGAUGUGGAGGAACACCAGUGGCGAAAGCGGCUUUUUGUUCUGUAACUGACCCUGAGGCGCGAAAGCGUGGGGAGCAUACAGGAUUAGAUACCCUGGUAGUCCACGCCCUAAACCAUUACUGCUAACUGUUAAAGGGUUUCCGCCCCUUAUUGCUGCCACU